GAUCGAGUUUGAUCCUGGCUCAGAUUGAACGCUGGCGGAAUGCUUUACACAUGCAAGUCGAACGGUAGAGGGGGCAACCCCUCGAGAGUGGCGAACGGGUGAGUAAUAUAUCGGAACGUGCCCAGUCGUGGGGGAUAACGUAGCGAAAGUUACGCCAAUACCGCAUACGAUCUAAGGAUGAGCUCGCGGCCUAUCAGUUAGUUGGUGGGGUAAAGGCCCACCAAGGCGACGAUCUGUAGCUGGUCUGAGAGGACGACCAGCCACACUGGGGACUGAGACACGGCCCAGACUCCUACGGGAGGCAGCAGUGGGGAAUUUUGGACAAUGGGCGCAAGCCUGAUCCAGCAAUGCCGCGUGCAGGAUGAAGGUCC
rnacentral:rRNA from 1 species